CCUACGGGUGGCAGCAGUGGGGAAUAUUGGACAAUGGGCGAAAGCCUGAUCCAGCCAUGCCGCGUGUGUGAAGAAGGCCUUCGGGGUGUAAAGCACUUUCAGUGGGGAAGAAAGCCUUGGGGCUAAUACCCUCGAGGAAGGACAUCACCCACAGAAGAAGCACCGGCUAACUCCGUGCCAGCAGCCGCGGUAAUACGGAGGGUGCGGGCGUUAAUCGGAAUUACUGGGCGUAAAGCGCGCGUAGGCGGUCUGAUAAGCCGGUUGUGAAAGCCCCGGGCUCAACCUGGGAACGGCAUCCGGAACUGUCAGGCUAGAGUGCAGGAGAGGAAGGUAGAAUUCCCGGUGUAGCGGUGAAAUGCGUAGAGAUCGGGAGGAAUACCAGUGGCGAAGGCGGCCUUCUGGACUGACACUGACGCUGAGGUGCGAAAGCGUGGGUAGCAAACAGGAUUAGAUACCCUUGUAGUC
rnacentral:rRNA from 1 species